AGAAGCCCUCUGCUCACCCAAGGGCUUCUUUCCAGGGACAAUCCACACAGGAAACCAGCCCAGAGCGAAGGCAGAGGACAGUGGAAGAAGGGUAGAGAAAGGACAACUCGGAAAAGCAAGGGGGUUUUCAAAGCUUGCACCGCAGUCUCUCUGAGGAAUUCUUCCCAACACCUGGCCACGAACCCUCACCAUAACUCUGUGUGGGGUCAGGGGAGAAGAACAAGAGGGAGAGCUCAACAGCAUUGGCCAAGUUCAACAACAUAAAAGGGAACCAUUUCAGCAAAGCAAUGCCGGAACUCCGUCUCUUACCAUGGUUUUCAACUGAGUGAUUUCUGGCGGGCAAUUCUGUUGUCACAGUCAAGGAGGAAGUACUUCUGGUAUU